GGCUCAGGCUGUGGAGUUUAAUAUCGGAGAACGUCUACACGAUACAACCUGAAAUUCUCACUCUUCACAGACAUCCUCGCAACGGGGAGAAAGGAAUGAGUGACAUGAGAACGGGGCCGGGCUCCUGUCGGAGUCCGUGACCUACAGCUGCAACUCAAGACUGCGGUUCUUCACAGCGGGGUGUUCUCGCCGAGCGGCCCAGCGCUUUCAACAUCGCCAGGGAAGACGUGCGCCUUCGGGCCGCGUGACCCAAUUCCUCGCCAGGCUUUCCUCCUGUUCCAUGGCUGUCUGUGAAGAGUAAGAAUCUCAGGUUGUAUACUGUAUGCAUUUUCUGAAAUAAAUUGAACUCAAUGUGCAGGGGAAAAAACACAAAUCGUGCAAACAGUAAAAAGCAAGCAGAUAACAUUCAGAACUGAAGUUCACGGAAGCGAACCCAGAGUCAUAAAGCCAAUUCAGUAGCCCACUGGUUGUGUAACGUACAUGACGGCUGUACAGUCCAUCCCACUGAGAGAGCCCCAGACCCGCAGCAAAAUCUUUUGGG